UACAGAGGGUGCAAGCGUUAAUCGGAAUUACUGGGCGUAAAGCGCACGUAGGCGGCCUUUCAAGUCGGACGUGAAAGCCCCGGGCUUAACCCGGGAAUUGCGUUUGAUACUGUUGGGCUUGAGACCGGGAGAGGAUAGCGGAAUUCCCAGUGUAGAGGUGAAAUUCGUAGAUAUUGGGAAGAACACCAGUGGCGAAGGCGGCUAUCUGGACCGGUACUGACGCUGAGGUGCGAAAGCGUGGGGAGCAAACAGG
rnacentral:rRNA from 1 species